rnacentral:sRNA from 1 species
UCUCACCCCGAUAAAACAUUCUUUUCCGACGCCACGCAUCAGACGUUGACAUUCGCCUUCUUCUUUGCGGGAUUU